AAUAGAUACCCUGGUAGUCCACGCCGUAAACGAUGUCGACUUGGAGGUUGUUCCCUUGAGGAGUGGCUUCCGGAGCUAACGCGUUAAGUCGACCGCCUGGGGAGUACGGCCGCAAGGUUAAAACUCAAAUGAAUUGACGGGGGCCCGCACAAGCGGUGGAGCAUGUGGUUUAAUUCGAUGCAACGCGAAGAACCUUACCUACUCUUGACAUCCAGAGAACUUUCCAGAGAUGGAUUGGUGCCUUCGGGAACUCUGAGACAGGUGCUGCAUGGCUGUCGUCAGCUCGUGUUGUGAAAUGUUGGGUUAAGUCCCGCAACGAGCGCAACCCUUAUCCUUUGUUGCCAGCGGUUAGGCCGGGAACUCAAAGGAGACUGCCAGUGAUAAACUGGAGGAAGGUGGGGAUGACGUCAAGUCAUCAUGGCCCUUACGAGUAGGGCUACACACGUGCUACAAUGGCGCAUACAAAGAGAAGCGACCUCGCGAGAGCAAGCGGACCUCAUAAAGUGCGUCGUAGUCCGGAUUGGAGU
rnacentral:rRNA from 1 species